rnacentral:rRNA from 1 species
GCCCAGCCGUAAAAAAUUUACUCACACCAAUAAACGCCAGGGUAAUACGAGCGCAAGCUUAAAAUCCAAAGGACUUGACGGUGUCCCACCCACCUAGAGGAGCCUGUUCUAUAAUCGAUAAUCCUCGUUAUACCCAACCACUUCUUGCUUUUCAGCCUGUAUACCUCCGUCGCAAGCCUACCGUAUGAAUGCCCAACAGUAGGUUUAAUGAUUUACCAUCAACACGUCAGGUCAAGGUGCAGCCUAUGGAGUGGAAAGCAAUGGGCUACAAUUUCUAACUUAGAACAAACGGAAUUCUACAUGAAACAUAGUCAUGAAGGCGGAUUUAGCAGUAAAAGGAAAAUAGAAUGUUCCUUUUAACAAGGCUCUGGGACGUGUACAAACCGCCCGUCACCCUCUUCAAUAGUACAGCAACUUAAGUUUCAUAACCUAUAUUGAACGUCUUAGAAGAGGCAAGUCGUAACAUGGUAAGUGUACUGGAAAGUGCACUUGGAUUAA